rnacentral:rRNA from 1 species
CAGCCGCCGCGGUAAUACGAAGGGUGCAAGCGUUACUCGGAAUUACUGGGCGUAAAGCGUGCGUAGGUGGUGGUUUAAGUCCGUUGUGAAAGCCCUGGGCUCAACCUGGGAAUUGCAGUGGAUACUGGAUCACUAGAGUGUGGUAGAGGAUAGUGGAAUUUCCGGUGUAGCAGUGAAAUGCGUAGAGAUCGGAAGGAACAUCUGUGGCGAAGGCGACUAUCUGGGCCGACACUGACACUGAGGCACGAAAGCGUGGGGGGCAAACAGGAUUAGAUACCCCAGUAGUCCCUGUCUCUUAUAA